rnacentral:rRNA from 1 species
UACGAAGGGUGCAAGCGUUAAUCGGAAUUACUGGGCGUAAAGCGUGCGUAGGCGGUGAGUUAAGUCUGUCGUGAAAUCCCCGGCUCAACCUGGGAAUGGCGAUGGAUACUGGCUCGCUAGAGUGUGAUAGAGGAUGGUGGAAUUCCCGGUGUAGCGGUGAAAUGCGUAGAGAUCGGGAGGAACAUCAGUGGCGAAGGCGGCCAUCUGGAUCAACACUGACGCUGAGGCACGAAAGCGUGGGAGCAAACAGG